rnacentral:miRNA from 1 species
AACAACCUCAUCAACAGGAAGGAAUUCUUUCUGGCUAAUGAGGUUGAGCUAACACAUUGACCAGAAGGGACUCCUUCCAGUCAAUGAGGUAUCAUUUGACCAGAAGGGAUUCCUUCUGGUUGAUGAGGUUGUU